rnacentral:misc_RNA from 1 species
CAAAAUGUUUUAAAAUAGAAAACAUUAAAAGAGUAUCCAUUUUUUAUUUUAUGUAAUUUGGGAAGAAAAUAGUACAGAGAUUAAAUUAAAAGAUAGAUUUAAAACUCUACUUUUUUAAGCUUAAAAACUUUAAAAGUAAGACAUUCAUGUUAUGUAAGACAGUUUUUUAAUAUAAAUCGUACCAUGAUAUGAUCUCGUUGAAUUUUGUGGAACGUAACAUAAACUGCAAGGACAACGUGAUCGCCAUGUGCUCAAGGGAUGCCAUAAGAGUGCUUUAUUCGAUCUGUGAGAUAUAUGAUAUUAGUGAGAUAUGUAACACUGUUAUAUCGCGCUAACGAAAUUAUACGUAAUCACAUUGGGUUUCUUGCUGGAAAAGGUAGAAUGUCGGUUUCAGUGCUACAAACAUGUUUUACUCCAAAUAUGUGAUUUUUGCGACAUUCUGGUGGAUCCUCGCAACGACUGGGGACAAUUUCUUUCGAAAUGAAGAUAUUUGCGGAUCUCACAAUGGCAGACGUUUGUAUCUGGAGCUUGGCGAGAAGGGCAUCCUCUAUGCAAAAAAUGUUACCUUCGUCAGAAAUUUAUUGAGACAGUCAGUGUCGCAUCUUUAUGAUACCAUCAACAGUUCUCAUUAUCAAUGCAAUCUCGAAUUAGUGACCUGUCCAUCCUGCGUAAUAAUUAUCACUUUCAAGAACAUCGCGCUUCCAUAUCAUUGUGGCGAUGGAGGAGUCGUAAUGGAUAGUCCAUGCAGGUGCGACUACGUGUGGCUCUCGGAACCACCUUAUGAACAAGUUUCUGGCUCGCCCUUUUGUGGAUUAUAUGCACCGAUCACAUAUAGAUCAAGCACAAGAACUCUAUCUAUAACUCUACUCUACAGUCAAUCUUACAAACACGCGUUUACCAUCGAAUAUACAGCUGAAAGAAAUAGAUUGCAUUUGAAAGGAACGGAAAUAACAUCGAGAGCCUUGACGAAAGGUUUAAACGGUACUGGCGGUGGUAUUCUGACUUCGCCGUUUUUCCCGGCUCGAUAUCCUCGUGACUUGGGUUUGGAAUAUAUCAUAACGUGUCCCAGCGAAGCCUCUUCCUGUCGCAUUAGGUUAUUGUUUAGCGACUUUCAAUUAGCGACGGUUUCCAUAAUAGAGUUCUAUGAUUGGAACGGACAACGUUUGGACGUGAGUAGUGGUGCGCGAUUUCGGCCGCCAGUGAUAGUAAGCUCUGGUCCGUCGUUGCUAAUAAGAUUCUAUGCAAAUGGUGGUACCGGUCUUGGUUACAAAGCUUUUUAUUCUUUCGUCAUUGGUCAUACGUAUGAUAAAUCCAUACAACCGAUCACCGACUGUGGUGGAUACGUAGAAAAUCUGGGUGGCACCAUCACGAUGAUAAAUAUGGUCGAUCGAGGAGUAAAGAUUUACGAUUGUGUUUGGCUAAUUAGACCACCUAAGAGUUUCUUACAUAUGAAGACGCACAUGUAUUUGAAAGUAGUGGGUUUUGCUGAUAUGGCUGGUAAUACGGAAUUAAUCAUCAAGGAAGGUCCGACUUCUGCCCUGAUGUUGUUGGAAGUAACUCGACAUCCAACGAGUCAAUUACAACCACUCAUGCACAGGGAACAUGUGGUGCCAGUUACCAGCGGAUUCUACGUGAGUCUUCGUGGUAUAUUCGGAUCGAGUUCUUACUUGGCCAUUGCUUAUGCUGCCUUUAGUUACACUGGUAAGUCUGUUUUUAACAAUGAUAAUCGCAAAAUAAUUAUUUUAUUUCAAUUGAGUUUAUAUUACUAUUACUGUUUGUCUUUGAUUGAAUUAUACAUUUUAGAUUGUUUUGCAAGCACUGAUUUUCUAUGCCAAAAUCAUAGGUGUAUUCCAAGUCAACUGAAUUGCGACGAUUUUGAUCAUUGCGGUGAUAAUAGCGAUGAACCAGUGAAGUGCUUUCAAGAUUGGCAAGAGGAGCUACGCAAUCACAAAUGGCAUAUGAACAGAGCGAAUUAUUACUUUUCAAAGACUAAUCGAUAUCCAGAUUUGAAAACGGCCAUUCUGGUAUUCGUUGUUAGUAGCUUUGGUCUGAUCGUUCUGAUAUCGGCGCUUAUUAUACUACUGUAUAGAAUAGGAGCAAGAGCUAGACAACAAAGAGAACUACAGUCUCGUCUGGAAACAAUCAGCGAACUUCUAGAUGGUGCACGGAUCGAAGAAAUAUCUAUUUCGGAUGAUCCACCUAGCUAUGAGGCACCACCGGAUUAUGACGAAGUCGCGAAACUCUUUUUGUCGAAGAAGGCUCAAUGCUUGAAUCGAGAGAAUGACAGAGCUUGCAACAGAAAUCAGCACGACGAGGGUGUGAAUUCUACUUAUUUGAUCGUGGAAGGCGCGAGCAAUAGUCGUAGCAAUCAAACAACUUCGAUAAUAUCAAGAAAUAAUCGACAUGUACUACAUACACCCGAGAGUCCACCGCCUCCGUAUAUAACACCUCCAGGAACUAUAUUGAGAAACAUGAAUCUAGCUAGUUUGUCGGCAUCGAUGAAACAGAUUUGUCCUAUUCGUCGCACUUGGUUUCGACGCAGCGCGCAAUAUCCUCAGUCCUCUUGUAGCGAUCGUCCAUCUCCCGGUGGUUCAUUCUUAUUCACGAAUGCUGAGACUUCUUGUAUACGUCGAGCGGAUUAUGUUGUUUCGGAUUCGAUAAAUCGUCAGUUCGAAAAUUCUCCGAAAGAAGUUCGGAUUAUACAUAAAAUUGUCCAAGAAAAUACUACAGAAGUAUUGGAAGAAAAUAACCGAUCCGUUUCAGAAGAGGAGUCUGAUGAACUCGUUGAUAAAGUUGACAGUUUGGACGGAAGAAACGUCAAUUGUUCCUGUGAGGGUGCAUGCGGUUGUGCUAUUAGCUGUAUUAAUCUGCAAGAUCUUCCAAUCAACCCGUCAAUUUCUGUAACAAGUGUCGAAGAUCGUGAAAUAUAGAAAUUAAAACAAACAGCAAUUAUAUCCAUGAAAAAGCAUCAAGAGGAUAAUUUUUCUAUUUCGAGAAGUACUAUCAUUAAACUUUGGGGUUCUAAGCUGGCGAAACCAUCCCAUCAUAACACCAAUUUGACAGUCGCCUUAUCAUCUUGUAACACUUGGCGUCGUUCCUCCAAAAAAUUCUCUCAUGUGUUGAAAAAUGUCAAACACAUUGAGCAAUACAUCGAAGAGUGUUAUUGGCUAUCGAGAAUAUUACAAUGACCGGCGAUACUUUAGCUGUGACUUGGACAGUAUAUAUGGUAGCAUCAAGGUUCUCGAUCUGGUGCAUAGAAAUUUCAUUGUAGAAGGCCACGAAUAUUGACAAUCAAUCAUAAUACUAUUUGGUACAUUGAAACACGGACCUACAUAUAAUUUAAUCGCAUCGUCGCAGCAAAGGAAAAGAGAAGUAUAUACGCUCUUGUACUUGGUGUUCUAGCGAAGACGUCUUGUCUAAUUAAUUCAUUUGAUGGAACAAAUUUACAACAGAAAGGUAAUCGAGUUUAUGUAACUAUGUUAAUUUUUUUAUUAAUGUGAUAAUUAAAAAAAAUAUAUUAUUGACCUGUGUACGUAUAUAUAAUUUA